rnacentral:lncRNA from 1 species
GACACGGGGUUUUCCCUGAGCCCCAUCAGGAGGUGGACACGGGGUUUGUCCUGAGCCCCAUCAGGAGGUGGACACGGGGUUUUCCCUGAGCCCCAUCAGGAGGUGGACACGGGGUUUGUCCUGAGCCCCAUCAGGAGGUGGACACGGGGUUUGUCCUGAGCCCCAUCAGGAGGUGGACACGGGGUUUGUCCUGAGCCCCAUCAGGAGGUGAACACCGGGUUUUCCCUGAGCCCCAUCAGGAGGUGGACACAGGGUUUGUCCUGAGCCCCAUCAGGAGGUGGACACGGGGUUUGUCCUAAGCCCCAUCAGGAGGUGGACACGGGGUUUUCCCUGCACACCAUCAGGAGGUGAACACCGGGUUUUCACUGAGCUCCAUCAGGAGGUGGACACGGGGUUUGUCCUGAGCCCCAUCAGGAGGUGGACACGGGGUUUUCCCUGAGCCCCAUCAGGAGGUGGACAUGGGGUUUUCCCUGAGCCCCAUCAGGAGGUGGACACUCGGUUUGUCCUGAGCCCCAUCAGGAGGUGGACACCGGGUUUUCCCUGAGCCCCAUGAGGAGGUGGACACUCGGUUUGUCCUGAGCCCCAUCAGGAGGUGGACACUCGGUUUGCCCUGUGCCCCAUCAGGAGGUGGACACUCGGUUUAUCCUGAGCCCCAUCAGGAGGUGGACACUCGGUUUGCCCUGUGCCCCAUCAGGAGGUGGACACUCGGUUUCUCCUGAGCCUCAUCAGGAGGUGGACACGGGGUUUUCCCUGAGCCCCACACUCGGUUUGUCCUGAGCGCCAUCAGGAGGUGGACACUGGGUUUGCCCUGUGCCCCAUCAGGAGAUGGACGCUCGGUUUCUCCUGAGCCCCAUCAGGAGGUGGACACGGGGUUUGCCCUGAGCCCCAUCAGGAGGUGGACACCGGGUUUGCCCUGAGCCCCAUCAGGAGGUGGACAUUCGGUUUGCCCUGAGCCCCAUCAGGAGGUGGACACCGGGUUUGUCCUGAGCCCCAUCAGGAGGUGGACAUUCGGUUUGCCCUGAGCCCCAUCAGGAGGUGGACACCGGGUUUGUCCUGAGCCCCAUCAGGAGGUGGACACUUGGUUUGCCCUGUGCCCCAUCAGGAGGUGGACACUUGGUUUGCCCUGUGCCCCAUCAGGAGGUGGACACCGGGUUUGCCCUGAGCCCCAUCAGGAGGUGGACACCGGGUUUGCCCUGAGCCCCAUCAGGAGGUGGACACGGGGUUUGUCCUGAGCCCCAUCAGGAGGUGGACACUCGGUUUGUCCUGAGCCCCAUCAGGAGGUGGACACCGGGUUUGCCCUGUGGCUUCUUGAUUCAUUUUCAGUUUUUUCCCAGAGAGCAGGUCCUCGGGAUGCCAGCUUUUGUGGCGGGGGUGGAGUAAGGUGCUUCCCCCGGCCCCAGUUGCGCGGCGGUCUUCACACGGGCGGUCUCGGCAUUGCCCGCGGCCUGGCUUUGGUCCAGCAGUGAGCAGCCUUUGGGCAGCUUUCCUGAUUCUUGUUUGCUCAGGAGACCCACAGGCUCCUCCGUGAUGAGAACUAGGUUGGUCUGGCUUCUACUUGUAGCCAGGGAUCAGUGAUUCAGAGCAGCUUUUCCCUGAAGACAGACGAAGAAGCUGGGCCCCCAGGAGCUCACAGGAUAGGGCCAGGCCCAGGCUGCAGCCUGGAGAGGCCUAUAACCUGCAGGAACGGGCGGGCCUUGCCAACUCUGGCCUGGGGUGUUGGCUGUUCUGGAAGAAGUAGCUGAGAGGCUGAAUUUGGCUUUGGUGGCAUCACUGGCCUGCUGGGUGUGGGGCCCUGCCGGGAUAUCCAUGGCCUGAAAGGUGACAUCUGGAGUGAGGGUGACCUGGACUCUGACGCGCCACACGAUCGGCACCCAGCCUGCUGAUGUCCAGGAAACCUUGAAUCUGGAUUUUUGGGGACCCCGCACUGCCGGCCCCAGGUGCCUGGCAAAAGAAGUAAGACGGCCCCUUUAGAGGAAGACAGCGUCAGCCGAGGCCUCGGGUCAUUUCUACAAAUCACCAUCUGGUGCGGGGUCCAUCACAUGCAAACAGAGGUAACCAGGCAGUCAAGGAGAUGCGCAAAACGCAGAAGCCAGGGAAGCAGUGCCACCCGCAGGAGCUCCCCGUGCUGCCCACGAGCCGAUCACCCCAGCCCAGCCCCCAGGAGGCUGGGCCAGACACCGACGAAGAGCUGAUGACUCUGGAACGGGGCGUAGCAGCGUUAGGGGAGAAAAUGAGAUGCGGAUCUGAGAAAACGGCGAAGCUGAUCGGUGGAACUGAGGGGCGGGUUUACCAGCUGACCAGGCGGCAGCGGACAGGAGGGAAGGAGAGAACGCGGGAGAGGGCGAGAUGAGGAAGGGUCGCUCUUGCAGAAACUUCAGAACAGGAGAGGGAAGGGGUUGGAAGUGAUGAUGACAGCAAAACCCUUUCCAAAAUGGACGGAAGAAAAUCUGAUGUUAAAAAUGCGCGUGGUCUGCCGGGAGCGUCUGCUGGGGCGUUCGCUCUGGAAGAUUCUUCAUGGUUUCUCACACGGGUAGAUGCGUGCUUGUAAUGCAGCCCAGUGGCCACACUCCUUUAUCCCGGAGACUCGGAAUGCGCGUCCACACACAGACCUGCACGUCAUGCUCCCUAGCAGCUUAACUCACCAUAGCCCAAACCAGAAGGACGCCCCCCACCGGCUGUCCUUCAGUGGGUGAGUGGCCAGGCAAAUGCUGGCCACCUCCCUCGGUGUCCUCCUCAGCAACAGGCAUGAACGCUGGGUCCCUGCCACACCCUGGGUGAUCUCGGCAGCAUGAUGGCGAGUGAAGAAGCUGGUUUCAAGGGGUGCACACUGUAUGAUCUCUUCAUCCCCAGGUGAUAGGAUUAGCGUGACGGAAACAGUGGCCCGGGGUGUAGGUGGGGGGGCCGCCGGCAGGCCGGUGUCUGGAAUCGGCACAUGGGCACGUUGGCACGUCACGUGGGCAUGUCCACACGCAUGCAAGGGGCUGUGGGUGAACUGCCCGUGGUGCACACCUGAGGGAGUUGUGUGGCACCAGCUCGGUUUGGACAGUGCCCUUUGUUAGGUACGGUUUUCUCAUUGGGAAGCUGGAUUUGUAUUAAA